UUCUCUUUCCAAUCUCGAGCCUUCCGAGAAAACCCAUGAACAAGAAGAUGUAGAGUAUUUUUUCCCGACAAAAUCAGAAAACAAUACCUCUCUGAGUGAUUAAUCAACCAUAAAUCAAGACCUAUCUGGAUCAUUUGUUGAUAUCAUUAUAUGUAUCCAUUUUGCUGGGCUGGCAUAGCUUCUUGAAAAAACAGGUGAAGGGGAAGCACAUCAAUUUUCAAGAUGAAGAAAAGAAGGAGUUUACGAUGAUGCAGGCAACUACAAAAAUCGUUCUAACAAUGUUGAGAACAAGACCUCUAGUGAAGAAGCUGUGGAAGCUACUUUAGAAUGUAUACUGAAUGCAUUCCGGCCAAAUAUUGCUAGCAAUCAUGGGGUUCGUGAC